rnacentral:rRNA from 1 species
GACGAACGCUGGCGGCGUGCUUAACACAUGCAAGUCGAACGGUAAGGCCCUUCGGGGUACACGAGUGGCGAACGGGUGAGUAACACGUGGGUGAUCUGCCCUGCACUUCGGGAUAAGCCUGGGAAACUGGGUCUAAUACCGGAUAGGACUCCUGGCUUCCUGGUUGGGGGUGGAAAGCUUUUGCGGUGUGGGAUGGGCCCGCGGCCUAUCAGCUUGUUGGUGGGGUAAUGGCCUACCAAGGCGACGACGGGCAGCCGGCCUGGGAGGGUGUCCGGUCACACUGGGACUGAGAUACGGCCCAGAGUCCUACGGGAGGCAGCAGUGGGGAAUAUUGCACAAGGGGCGCAAGCCUGAUGCAGCGACGCCGCGUGAGGGAUGACGGCCUUCGGGUUGUGAACCUCUUCAGUACAGACGAAGCGCAAGUGACGGUAUGUGCAGAAGAAGGACCGGCCAACUACGUGCCAGCCGCCGCCGUAA